rnacentral:rRNA from 1 species
CAUAUCGUGCGCGAGGCCCCACCCUGACCCAUCAGGCUGGUUGAGUGAAGAAGGCGGUAGGGUUCUAAAGCACUUUCAAUUGAGAAGAUCAGUUUUUGUUAAUAGGGGCAAGCCCUACAUUACCUAUAAAGGAAAACCGGCUAACUCCCUGCCACCAGCGUAGGUAAUACGGAGGGUGCGCGAGUUAAUUGGAAUUACCGGGCGUAAAGCGCGCGUAGGCGGUUUAUUAAGUUGGAUGUGAAAGCCCCGGGCUCAACCUGGGAACUGCAUUCGAUACUGGCCGGGUAGGGUACGAGAGAGGGAGGUAGAAUUCCACGUGUAGCGGUGAAAUGGGUAGAUAUUUGGAGGAAUACCCGUGCCGAAGGCCGCUUCCUGGCUCGAUAAUGGCGAUGAGGUGAGAAAGGGUGGGGAGCAAACAGAAUUAGAUACCCUAUAGUCCACGCCGUA